AGAGUUUGAUCCUGGCUCAGGACGAACGCUGGCGGCGUGCUUAACACAUGCAAGUCGAACGGUAAGGCCCUUUCGGGGGUACACGAGUGGCGAACGGGUGAGUAACACGUGGGUGAUCUGCCCUGCACUUUGGGAUAAGCCUGGGAAACUGGGUCUAAUACCGAAUAUUCCUUGCUGGUCGCAUGGCCUGGUGGGGGAAAGCUUUUGCGGUGUGGGAUGGGCCCGCGGCCUAUCAGCUUGUUGGUGGGGUGAUGGCCUACCAAGGCGACGACGGGUAGCCGGCCUGAGAGGGUGUCCGGCCACACUGGGACUGAGAUACGGCCCAGACUCCUACGGGAGGCAGCAGUGGGGAAUAUUGCACAAUGGGCGCAAGCCUGAUGCAGCGACGCCGCGUGAGGGAUGACGGCCUUCGGGUUGUAAACCUCUUUCAGUACAGACGAAGCGUGAGUGACGGUAUGUACAGAAGAAGCACCGGCCAACUACGUGCCAGCAGCCGCGGUA
rnacentral:rRNA from 1 species